UUGUACAGUCUUAGCUAAAUAAUUGCUUCAGCGUGGGCAAAUACUCAUCUUGCAAGUUUACCUACCUGUAUGUAUUUUGCAAAGUUAUUCAUUUUUUAAUCAAUCUUCAUUCACAGGGAAAGAGUGAAUUGUCCUGUAGCUGAAGCUUGAUCCGGGGGUAAAUCUUGCCAGAGCUACAGAAACAUAAAUUCACAUGUAUUUGUUACAGGCAUCAAAAUCCAGGAGUGUGUACACUGGAAGAGCCUUUGAUACCGGAUGAGGCGGAAGCAGGAUUCCGUGCCCCAGUUUCAGGAGCCCAUACUCAAAAAUUUACUGCGCUGCUUGUCGGAUAUGUCAAGAAUCUGAAGAAAACUACAACCCAGUUGAUUUUAACGAUUUCUAAUGUCGGACCAUCAGCUCAACCCAAAUCCAUCAGCACCCAUCUACGUGUGUUCCUUGCUUUAGGGCUCUAGGGUCAAAAAGUUUUUGGAAGAGUGGAAUAAAGAGAACUACAGAUUACCCUACGCCAUGCCUGAUAGUGCCCAGCAGACACAGCAUGCAUGUGAACCAGAGCAGAAAGCUGCGACACAUAGAGAAUUUUGUCUACCGUAAGAAUUAUUAAUGUUAUGGUGGUAUGCAAUUGAGUCAGUUGAGAUAUGAAUUUUCUAUUGUACAGGUAAACAUCUUGAUACUAGUAUAUAAAUGGUUACUUAGUCUACAA